rnacentral:tRNA from 1 species
GGCACUGUAGCCAAGUGGUUACGGCGUCACGUUUAGGUCAUGUGCCAAUCCGUGAUGGGAAACCUCGCGAGUUCGAAUCUCGUCAGUGUCA